rnacentral:rRNA from 1 species
AGUGAACGCUGGCGGUAGGCCUAACACAUGCAAGUCGAACGACAGCACAGGAGAGCUUGCUCUCUGGGUGGCGAGUGGCGGACGGGUGAGGAAUACAUCGGAAUCUACUCCGUCGUGGGGGAUAGCGUAGGGAAACUUACGCUAAUACCGCAUACGACCUACGGGUGAAAGCAGGGGACCUUCGGGCCUUGCGCGAUUGAAUGAGCCGAUGUCGGAUUAGCUAGUUGGCGGGGUAAAGGCCCACCAAGGCGACGAUCCGUAGCUGGUCUGAGAGGAUGAUCAGCCACACUGGAACUGAGACACGGUCCAGACUCCUACGGGAGGCAGCAGUGGGGAAUAUUGGACAAUGGGCGCAAGCCUGAUCCAGCCAUACCGCGUGGGUGAAGAAGGCCUUCGGGUUGUAAAGCCCUUUUGUUGGGAAAGAAAUCCAGCUGGCUAAUACCCGGUUGGGAUGACGGUACCCAAAGAAUAAGCACCGGCUAACUUCGUGCCAGCCGCCGCCGUAA